rnacentral:tRNA from 1 species
GGAGACGUGGCCGAGUGGCCGAAGGCACAUCCCUGCUAAGGAUGCAUAGGGCUUAUACCUCUAUCGUGGGUUCAGAAUCCCACCGUCUCCGCCA